UGGGGAGAGGCUGCUAUGGUCAGAAUGUUUUUGUUCCCUCCAAAACUCACGUGUUGGAAACUUAAUCCCCAAUGCAACAGCAUUGGGUGGUGGGGUUUACUGGGAGGUGUUCAGGUCAUGAGGGUGGAGCAUGAGUGGAUUAAAGCCAGUCUAAAAAGGGCUUGUGGAUGUGGGUUCCCUCUGUUCUGCAUUUCUGUCCUGUAAGGAACAGUGAUUGCCCCUGCUCCGGAAGAUGUAAUGUGUAAGGUACCAUCCUGGGGGUGGCCCUCUCCAGACACCAAGCCUGCUGGCACCUUGAUCUUGGACUUCCCAGCCUCCAGAACUGUGAGAAAUAAAUUUCUGUUCUUUAUUAAUUACCCAGCAAUUUUUAUAGCUGCACAAAAUGGUUUAAGACAGAGGUCAUAGCAAGCUUCAGUUUUUACUUUUUCCCCUUGCAUCUGAACAAUUGCAAGCAGAAAGAACAACUGAGUGCUUUAUUUCUGCAACCACCAUGCUGCUACUGAGUGAAGGGGAAGGAGGGGUAAGAGCUUGCCUUCUUUCCUUGUGUUAAUUGCAACAUCUUCCAAAACCCAGCAAGGAAGGCAUGAAGUGAGCCUACCAAGGCCAGUCUCCAGAUGAGGGGACUAUAGCUACAGAUUGCUAUGUUUCCUGUUGGUGGUGGUAGCAAGAUUUCAUAGGGGCCUUUCUUGCCAUUGCUCAAAAUGAAAUGCAUUGACACCAAAGGAAGUGGUGAAACUGUGGGCAUUGUAUGCUUUAGAAAUUUGAUAUUUGGAAACCUGCAGACCUGAAGAGGCAGUAGCUUCUCCUGAAGAUCUGAUAUCCAAGGGCUACCCAGACAAGGAGCUGACUUGUCAGGAAGUGUGGUGGACCUUGACGCAAAAACUCAAACCACAAAUGUUUCACUUCUAAAUUUUUGCAGGCUUUGUUAUAUAGACAUUUUUGUUAAGCCCUGUCUAAAACAAUAGGAUGACUGGGUUCUUUCCCCUCCUCAUGGUGACUACGUGCAUCUUCUACGAACAUUCCCAUGUCAUGUGGUCAGCUUCCAAGAAAGACUUUACCAAUGAGUCUGUUUACAGAUUCUCAACCAGAGGACUUACAGGAAUGCACAGUAGCUAUUUGUUUGGGAUGCAGAGGUACAUGAGCCCCAGACCUCAUCCCCAAUCAGGCAGUUGGGUAGGAAUGGUGUGGUUACUGAUGGUGGGAGGACAGGGAUGGUGGGGACUUUCCUGUGGAGGGCCCACCACUGAAGAAAUCUCUCUACCUCCUGGUUUGAUCCAGGCUUUCCAGGGAUAAAAUAAGAGGGGGAAACAAAGAAGUAAUCAUUCCCCAGCCCCCAGUAUGCCCCAUCUCUGACUCAGCUCCCAGCAGAGCAGUAAUAGGUCCCUGCUUAUCAGAUGGCAUCGGAAGGGGGUGGGUGCCUGGGUGGGUGCCUGGCUGUGUGCAGUGAGGAGGUCUCAGCAGCAGCCUCUGAAGCCAACUGCUUGGCUGGAAUCUAGGUGCGCUACUCACUAGCUGGGGAACUUACAGCAAGUUACUUCACCUCUUACGCCUCAGUUUUCUCAUCUGCCAAAAGGGAGUACUAAUAGCAGCAUCAUUGACAAAAGCUGAAAGGUGGAAGCAAGCCAAGUGUUCAUCCACUGAGAAAUGCAUAAAUAAAAUGUGGCCUAGACAUACAUGGAAUACUAUUCAACCUCAAAGGAAGAGAAUCUGGACGUGUACUGCAACAUGGAUGAACUCUGAAGACAUCAUGCUGAGUCCAAGGACAAACACUGUAUGAUUCCACUUAGAUGAGGUACUUAGAGCUGUCAAAUUUGUAGAGAUAGAAAGUAGAAUGGUGCAGGUCAGGCGUUCAACACCAGCCUGGCCAACAUGGAAAAACCCUGUCUCUAUUAAAAAAUACAAAAAUUAGCCAGGCGUGGUGGUGUGCACCUGUAAUCCCAGCUACUCGGGAGGCUGAGGCAUAAGAAUCACUUGAACCCAGGAGGUGGAGGUUGCAGUGAGCCAAGAUCGCACCAUUGCACUCCAGCCUAGGCAAAAAGAGCAAGACUCCGUCUCAAAAAAAAAAAAAAAAAAAAGGAAAGUAGGACGGUGGCUGCCAGGGGCUGGAGGAAGAGGGGAAUGGGAAGUUCUUGCUUAAUGAGCAUAGUUUCAGUUUCGCAAGAUGAAGAGUUCCAGAGAUGGAUGGGAAGAUGGAUGCACAACAGUAUGAAUGUACUUAAUGCCACUGAACUACACACUUAAAAAUGGUUACGAUGGUAAAUGUUGUGUAUGUAUAUUUUACCACAAUUUUUAAAAAUAAAUAAGGAGAAAUAUUACCCACCUCAGGGUUGUUCUAGGAUUAAAUGAGUUAAUUCACUGGUUCUCUACCAGGGAGCUUUUGUCCCCUCCACUCUGCCCCCCAGGGGACAUUUUGUUCCCGGACCAAACUGAGGGUCAGGCUGCUAUUUCUCGCCACCUAAUAAUGAGAUGCAGAUGAACUGGGGAGGAAGAGAGGUUUUAUUUUCUGCAAUCGGUUACAGGGAGAAGGCCUGGAAAUUAUCACCAGACCAAUUCAAAAUUACAAAGUUUUCCAGAGCUUGUAUACCUUCUAAGCUGUAUGUCUACAUGUAAGUGUGCAUUCAUUUAAAGACAUAAGUGAUUAACUUCUUUUAAUCUAUAACUAAGGUCUCAGUACUGAAGACCUUCCUCUGGGGCCUCAGUAAAUUUGCUUAAUCUAAAUGGGUCCAAGUGGUGAGGUGAUUAUCCUUGUCUCCUGUUAAAUCACGGAGGUUUGGGGAGUUCCUUUAGACCCCCAAUAAACUUAU
rnacentral:lncRNA from 10 species